GAUGAACGCUGGCGGCGUGCCUAAUACAUGCAAGUCGAGCGAACGGACGAGAAGCUUGCUUCUCUGAUGUUAGCGGCGGACGGGUGAGUAACACGUGGAUAACCUACCUAUAAGACUGGGAUAACUUCGGGAAACCGGAGCUAAUACCGGAUAAUAUUUUGAACCGCAUGGUUCAAAAGUGAAUGACGGUCUUGCUGUCACUUAUAGAUGGAUCCGCGCUGCAUUAGCUAGUUGGUAAGGUAACGGUUUACCAAGGCAACGAUGCAUAGCCGACCUGAGAGGGGGAACAGCCACACUGGGACUGAGACACGGCCCAGACUCCUACGGGAGGCAGAAGGGGGGAAUUUUGCACAAUGGGGGGAAGCCUGAGCGAGCCAAGCCGCGUGGGGGAAGAAGGGCUUCGGGUUGUAAAACGCUUUUGUUAGGGAAGAAAAGGUUGUGGAAAAAACCUGGGACUCAUGACGGUACCUGAAGAAAAAGCCCCGGCUAACUACGUG
rnacentral:rRNA from 1 species